UGGCGGCAUGGCCGAGUG
rnacentral:tRNA from 1 species